AAAACUACAAAACUAAUAAAAAACUAAAAUAUAAUAAUGCUGUCAACGAAAAUAUAUAAAAUCUAUAGAAAUAAACAAAAGCAAAACAUUGAAAAAUUGCUUUAAAGAAAAACAAAUCAAAAACCAUUGUUGUGUACAUAAAAUUUAAGGUGUAGUGAGAACAGAAGUGAAAAAAGAAAUAAAAAUUAUAGAUUUUGUUUUAUUACAAUUACAACAUUACAAUUACAAAAAUUACAGGAAAGAAAUUAAUAAAAAGUAAUUAAUAGUUUUUGUGUAUUUGCAAAACAAUUUGGUAAAAUAAAACAAAUGUUAGUUUAAAAGUCUCUUAGUAAAGGAAGCAACGAAAAUUGCAUUUUCGAAAGCUUCUGCCUGUUGGGCGAGCUGGUGGUGUUGUGGUAUUGUUGGUUUUCCUGUGGAACAAAAAGACGCAAAGAUAGACGCGGUGUGGGGUUGGGCUUCUGCCCCGCUGCGUUUAGCAGCCAAUAGAAUGGGUGAUCCCCUACUGCCGGGAGCCAAUGGCGGUACGGGCGCUACAGCUGGCGGUAGUGGUGUGGAUAGGCCACAAUCGCCAGCUCGUAUGGCCCAUACUUCCGAUAAGCAUCCCAAAGUUACACUAUCCGAAUUAAAUAUGUUACGUAGACAUCGUGAACUAUGCGAUGUUGUACUUAACGUUGGCGGACGUAAAAUCUUUGCACAUCGUGUUAUACUCUCUGCAUGUUCGCCGUAUUUUCGAGCCAUGUUUACGGGUGAAUUGGAGGAGUCACGUCAAACUGAGGUCACUAUACGUGACAUAGAUGAGAAUGCCAUGGAACUAUUAAUAGAUUUUUGUUAUACUGCUCAUAUAGUAGUGGAAGAGUCGAAUGUUCAGACACUAUUGCCAGCUGCUUGUUUGCUUCAAUUGGUAGAGAUUCAAGAUAUUUGUUGUGAAUUUCUCAAACGUCAAUUGGAUCCCACCAAUUGUUUGGGUAUACGCGCUUUUGCCGAUACUCAUUCAUGUCGUGAAUUGUUGCGUAUUGCGGAUAAAUUUACUCAACAUAAUUUCCAAGAGGUAAUGGAAAGUGAAGAGUUUCUUUUAUUGCCUGUUGGCCAGUUGGUUGAUAUUAUAUGCAGUGAUGAGUUGAAUGUACGUUCAGAGGAGCAGGUGUUUAAUGCUGUAAUGUCAUGGUUAAAAUAUAAUAUUGCCGAUCGAAGACAACAUUUAGCUCAGGUUUUACAACAUGUCCGUCUUCCACUCUUAUCACCUAAAUUUUUAGUUGGCACCGUCGGCUCUGACCUUUUGGUGCGUUCCGAUGAAGCUUGUCGUGAUCUCGUCGACGAAGCCAAAAACUAUUUAUUACUUCCCCAAGAACGUCCCCUUAUGCAGGGACCACGUACACGUCCACGUAAACCCACACGCCGUGGUGAAGUUUUAUUCGCUGUCGGUGGUUGGUGUUCCGGUGAUGCCAUUGCCUCCGUAGAACGUUUUGAUCCUCAGACAAAUGAUUGGAAAAUGGUAGCACCCAUGAGUAAACGACGUUGUGGUGUAGGUGUGGCCGUACUCAAUGAUUUACUUUAUGCCGUCGGCGGUCAUGAUGGUCAGAGUUAUUUGAAUAGUAUAGAACGUUAUGAUCCGCAGACAAAUCAAUGGGCUUGUGAUGUUGCUCCAACUACCUCUUGUCGUACGAGUGUGGGUGUUGCUGUUCUAGAUGGUUUUCUUUAUGCUGUUGGUGGUCAAGAUGGUGUACAGUGUUUGAAUCAUGUGGAACGUUAUGAUCCCAAAGAAAAUAAGUGGUCAAAGGUGGCUCCUAUGACUACCAGACGUUUGGGUGUAGCUGUUGCUGUUUUAGGCGGUUAUCUUUAUGCCAUUGGCGGCUCUGAUGGCCAAUGUCCUUUGAAUACUGUCGAACGUUAUGAUCCCAGACAAAAUAAAUGGGUGGCUGUUAGUCCCAUGUCCACACGCCGCAAACAUUUAGGCUGUGCUGUUUUUAAUAAUUAUAUUUAUGCCGUUGGCGGCCGUGAUGAUUGCAUGGAACUGUCCUCUGCCGAACGUUAUAAUCCUCAUACGAAUACUUGGAGUCCUAUUGUUGCUAUGACAUCGCGACGCAGUGGUGUCGGCUUGCGGUUGUCAAUGGCCAAUUAUAUGCCGUUGGUGGUUUCGAUGGUUCUGCCUAUUUAAAAACCAUAGAAGUUUAUGAUACUGAAACAAAUCAAUGGCGCCUUUGUGGUUGCAUGAACUAUAGACGUUUAGGCGGUGGUGUGGGUGUAAUGAGAGCCCCUCAAACUGAAAAUUAUAUGUGGAUACGCAAAGAUUCUGUUGUUUGAUUGGGAUUGGAUAGUGACUCUAAGAAUCUUUAUAUAACAAAUCUAUAUAAAUAAUUCUACGUUUUUUUCUCUGUUGUGUGGGUAUUAAGAAUUAUUUAUAAAUAAGAAUUUAUGGAAAAGAAAUUUAUUGAAAUUGUAAAUGAAAAUAAAAGCUUAAGAAAAAGCCUUUUAGAAAAAACAUAUAUUGUUGGUAGAAGGAAACACUGACAUGCGAGCAAAUUAGUAAGAUUUAUAAUAAAAAUACAUAACGAAUUGUUGAUAACAA
rnacentral:misc_RNA from 1 species